GUGGAAUUAUUCCUAUGAAGUGGUUUUAUGGUUAUAUAGUUACCAAAAUAAUUAAGGAAAUAGAACACCUUGAAAAAAUAUUAUUGUCUGUUUAGAAAAAAAAGCCCCCAAAUUUCUCUCUGGUUCCUGGCUGGUUUGGCAAAUAUGUUUUGGCAAAUAUGUGUUUUCUAAGUGAACAGAAAUCAGAAGAGAGUAUUUCUUACAAAGGUGUUCCAAGCUAGGAACUUUUUUUUCCUGGAGAAAUGCUGUAUGGUUUUUACCAGGAAUAUGUUGGAUUAAUCAGCUCUCUCAGUCCUGGAGAGAAAUCACAGUGGAAUACGCAAACUGCUGUGUAGUCACAUGUAAAUCUCUCUGACAACCUGGAGGCACGGAUCAUUUGUUCAGCGUUUGGUUCCAACAACAAGCUCGUGGAGGAAAAUACCUUGUUUGCUUAUAAAAAGAUUGUAGCUGAAUAUGUAAUUGCUGAAAACAGAGCACUGGGAUCCCAGGUUUCCAGGAUGAGGAUCUGGAUCCUUUAUUUUGAGGGAGAAAAAGGCUUCAAUCAGUUUUCCUGUGUGUAAACAAAGCUUCACGUUGCAUGUCUUGUGGGAAAGUAGUGAAAUUCUUUCUUUUUAAAGGUGCUCGGUGUAAAUGUCACGUUCCUGGCUGGAGUCUUUGCUGGGCCCAAAGGCAAAGCCUAAUAUCAAAUGUUUGCUACAAUUUUCAGUCUGGGACGUCUCUUGACCCGUGUGCACAGAUGAUGAACGAUUUCUCCUUUCUGGGUUGGCUUCUUUGCCUCUUGGUGCAGAAGUUGUCCUGAAAGCAUGCCAGGAACCCAAGUCAUAGAUUGAAAUAACAGAAAUGUUAUGCUUAACACCAAAACGUGAGACAAAUCCACGUGCAUUGGAGAACUGAGCAGCAUCCAGAGGAGGCAGCUUACACAGGAGCGCAUUCAUUGUCAACAUCUGAUACUGAAAAGGUCAAUAGUUAAUUAAAUAAUCCAUCACCUUAGGAUAGAGAGCCGUCCUCACUUCUGACAAUCAAUGGCAGAAAUAUUAAAAGCAUCUCAUGGGGUUUUUUGGAUAAAUGCUCUGCUGAUGGCAAGCAAAAGCACCCUGAGGAUCUCCAAUGAGAAGUGCUCUGGAACUGGAGUGAGAACGACAUGCUUGAUGGAACAUGUCAAGCUACAUUAUAUUGUAGGACUGCCUAAUCAAAAGGGCCUGCAAGCAGAAUUGGGUUAUUUCAUGAAGGCUGAGUUCCUUCAGCAGAAAUGUAUCAUAGAUAGAGUGAAGUGGAUAGUCCUGUGUAUAAGAGAAUUUUAAAUUCAAAUAUUCUCUGAAACUCCAAAUCCAGAAGGAAACAAAAGGAGAAAUCAAACUACAGAGGAGAGGUGAAACAGGACAGGAAUUCUGUCUCAAACAUGGGAAAUGUCCUUUCCAAGCACAUGAGGAAGUCUGUUUUGCAGCAGCAGGU